CAAGGCGACGAUCCCUAGCUGGUCUGAGAGGAUGACCAGCCACACUGGAACUGAGACACGGUCCAGACUCCUACGGGAGGCAGCAGUGGGGAAUAUUGCACAAUGGGCGCAAGCCUGAUGCAGCCAUGCCGCGUGUAUGAAGAAGGCCUUCGGGUUGUAAAGUACUUUCAGCGGGGAGGAAGGGAGUAAGGUUAAUAACCUUAUUCAUUGACGUUACCCGCAGAAGAAGCACCGGCUAACUCCGUGCCAGCAGCCGCGGUAAUACGGAGGGUGCAAGCGUUAAUCGGAAUUACUGGGCGUAAAGCGCACGCAGGCGGUCUGUCAAGUCGGAUGUGAAAUCCCCGGGCUCAACCUGGGAACUGCAUUCGAAACUGGCAGGCUUGAGUCUUGUAGAGGGGGGUAGAAUUCCAGGUGUAGCGGUGAAAUGCGUAGAGAUCUGGAGGAAUACCGGUGGCGAAGGCGGCCCCCUGGACAAAGACUGACGCUCAGGUGCGAAAGCGUGGGGAGCAAACAGG
rnacentral:rRNA from 1 species